AGCCCGUCUAGCUCAGUUGGUAGAGCGCAAGGCUCUUAACCUUGUGGUCGUGGGUUCGAGCCCCACGGUGGGCGCCUUUUUAGCGAUUGUGAUUUUAACUAAAUUAGCUAUGCAGUUUUUGAGGUGCUGACCAUGAAAACAUCAACUCUAGAGAAGAACAAAAGCCCGUCGAGCUCAGUUUGUAGAGCGCAAGGCUCUUAUCCUUGUGGUCGUGGUUUUGAGCCCAACGGUUGGCA
rnacentral:lncRNA from 1 species